UCCAUAUUCAUUUAAAAUCCAGAUGGGAAAAUUAGAAAACCGAACGCCGGCAACCUCACCUACAAAAGCCUUCGUCGCUAGCUGAUGAGCCACCCGAUUUCCUUCCCUCCUCACAUGCAGAAAGCAAACUUGAGAGAAAUUAGAAGCAACAUGACGAAUAUCGUCAACCAAAGUUCCUGUUUCCAGCCAACAUUCACUGUUUCCAGAAAUUAGCUCAAUUGCUUGUAAGCAAUCCGAUUCUAUCUGUACCAAACUGAAAUUCAAUUGAGAAGCAAGAUAAAGACCUUCUCGAAUGGCUGAAAGUUCUGCUACUAAAGGGUCAAGUUGCGCAUCGAAAUUUUUGGCCAGAGCUGCAAAAACUUUCCCCCACAAUUUCGACCAAUCACUCCGAUACCGGUACGAGAAAUUUCAGAUUUGCACGCCGCAUCAACAUUGAGCUUAACCCAUUCAGCGGGGGGAGGAACCCAAACUGAGACAAAAGUUCGAAAACUGGAUAACUGCAAAUUUGUUUCAGACACAUGCUUCACCUGCCAGCAACCUUCAAAUUCUUUCAUAUACGCCCGAAUCCAUUCGCUUCUACAAUUGCCAUCAGAAAGAGCUUCUUGAAGCGUGAGGAACUUGUCCUGGACAGAGGGACUGUGGCCUAUGAUGAAUCUCACCUGAGCCUUCCCAAGCUCUGCCACGUGUCUUCCAUGCAUUGAAAGAUUGUCAAUUCAAUAACUAACCAACCAAAAGGUGUUCGAAAUGGAUGGCUUUCCACAAAGCUCUCAACCUCCUAGCCACCUUGAAGUCCCUAUAAAUUCAGCAACUAAUUCUCUUCAUUCAUCAUCCUGGAAUGAUCAUUUUAGCUUUAGACAUUCCUUCUCAGCUUAUUUACGUUUUCUCUUUGAGUCUUUGAGUUGUUUUUGUUUUAAACCUUGCUUAUUUCUAGUUCACCCUUAUUUAGUCUUGAAUUGUAAGCUUUAAUCUUGUUUAAUUAAAAUUCCAGCAAGUUUUUUGUUACUCAUCCCUCUCUUGUUCUCAUUACGAAGUUGUAAUCACUCAACCUUGAGGAAUCGACCGAGUAUUGCUCCCCAAUCUUGAAAGAGAACGGGUUAGAGUCAUUCGGGUUACAACUAUACCAUUUUUAGCUUGUUUUAAUCUUUUAAUCAUGUCGUUUAUUUC